ACAAGAACAUUCCGCAAUGGGCGAAAGCCUGACGGAGCGACGCCGCGUGGUGGAUGAAGUGCUUCGGUACGUAAACACCUUUUCCCAGGGACGAAGUAAUUGACGGUACCUGGGGAAUAAGGGGCUCCUAACUCUGUGCCAGCAGGAGCGGUAAUACAGAGGCCCCAAGCAUUAUCCGGAAUCACUGGGCGUAAAGGGUGUCGAGGCGGUCGUAUUAGUCGUUUGUAAAAUCCAUGGGCUCAACCUAUGGUUCGCAAGCGAAACGGUACGACUCGAGGGUGUAAGAGGUAUAUGGAACUCAUGGUGUAGGGGUGAAAUCCGUUGAUAUCAUGGGGAACACCAAAGGCGAAGGCAAUAUACUGGUACAAUCCUGACGCUCACACACGAAAGCCAGGGGAUCGAACGGG
rnacentral:rRNA from 1 species